rnacentral:rRNA from 1 species
UGUCUCAAAGAUUAAGCCAUGCAUGUCUAAGCAUAAGCCGAAUAUGGUUAAGCCGCGAAUGGCUCAUUACAACAGCCAUAGUUUGUUGGAUCUAAAAUCCUACUUGGAUACCUGUGGUAAUUCUAGAGCUAAUACACGCACUUAAACCCCAAACUUACGUGCGGGGUGCAUUUAUUAGAACAAAACCAAUUGGCUUCGGCCAUUCCUUGGUGAAUCUGAAUAACUACGCUGAUCGCAUGGGCUCGUCCCGGCGACAUAUCCUUCAAGUGUCUGCCUUAUCAACUUUCGAUGGUAGUUUACAUGACUACCAUGGUUGUAACGGGUAACGGAGAAUAAGGGUUCGACUCCGGAGAGGGAGCCUGAGAAACGGCUACCACAUCCAAGGAAGGCAGCAGGCGCGCAAAUUACCCACUCUCAGUUCGAGGAGGUAGUGACGAAAAAUAACGAGACAGUUCUCUAUGAGGUCUGUCAUCGGAAUGGGUACAAUCUAAACCCUUUAACGAGGAUCUAUUGGAGGGCAAGUCUGGUGCCAGCAGCCGCGGUAAUUCCAGCUCCAAUAGCGUAUAUUAAAGUUGUUGCGGUUAAAAAGCUCGUAGUUGGAUCUGCGGUCACAGGUGCCGGUCUUCUUCGCGAAGUACUGGUUUACCUUGACCUACCUUGACUGGUUUUCUCUUGGUGCUCUUUACUGAGUGCCUUGAGUGGCUAGUACGUUUACUUUGAAAAAAUUAGAGUGCUUAAAGCAGGCUAAUGCCUGAAUAGUGGUGCAUGGAAUAAUGGAAUAGGACCUCGGUUCUAUUUUGUUGGUUUUCGGAGCACGAGGUAAUGAUUAAGAGGGACAGACGGGGGCAUUCGUACUGCUGCGUUAGAGGUGAAAUUCUUGGAUCGUAGCAUGACGAACAACUGCGAAAGCAUUUGCCAAGAAUGUUUUCAUUAAUCAAGAACGAUAGUUAGAGGUUCGAAGGCGAUCAGAUACCGCCCUAGUUCUAACCGUAAACGAUGCCAACUGGGGACUUUCUGUAGACAAUAUUCACAGAGACGAACCUGCCCGGAAACGAUUAAGUCUUUCGGUUCCGGGGGAAGUAUGGUUGCAAAUCCGAAACUUAAAGGAAUUGACGGAAGGGCACCACAAGGCCGUGGAAUUUGCGGUUUAAUUUGACUCAACACGGGGAAACUCAUCAGGUCAGGACACUGUAAGGAUUGACAGAUUGACAGCUCUUUCACGAUUCAGUGGGUGGUGGUGCAUGGCCGUUCUUAGUUGGUGGAGUGAUUUGUCUGGUUAAUUCCGAUAACGAACGAGACUCUGACCUACUAAAUAGUGCGAGUAUCAUUCGUACUUGACACUUCUUAGAGGGACUGAUGGCUUCUAGCCGUACGAAAUUGAGCAAUAACAGGUCUGUGAUGCCC